UAGCGGGGGGAGCAAGCGUUGUUCGGAUUUACUGGGCGUAAAGGGCGCGUAGGCGGCGUGACAAGUCACUUGUGAAAUCUCCGGGCUUAACCCGGAGCGGCCAAGUGAUACUGUCGUGCUAGAGUGCGGAAGGGGCUACUGGAAUUCUCGGUGUAGCGGUGAAAUGCGUAGAUAUCGAGAGGAACACCUGCGGCGAAGGCGGGUUGCUGGGCUGACACUGACGCUGAGGCGCGAAAGCUAGGGGAGCGAACAGG
rnacentral:rRNA from 1 species